rfam:Myotis lucifugus cont2.25702, whole genome shotgun sequence.
GCCAGUGUGGCUAAGUGGUAGAGUGUGGGCCCAAGCCCUGAAGGGUCAAGGGUUUGAUUCCCUGUCAAGGGCA